rnacentral:SRP_RNA from 1 species
GCCAGGUGUGGUGGCGGGUGCCUGUAAUCCCAGCUACUCAGGAGGCUGAGGCAGGAGAAUCGCUUGAACCCGGGAGGUGGAGGUUGCAGUGAGUUGAGAUAGCGCCACUGCACCCCAGCCUGGGUGACAGAGUGAGACUCUGUCUCAA